rnacentral:rRNA from 1 species
UACGAAGGGGGCUAGCGUUGCUCGGAAUCACUGGGCGUAAAGCGCACGUAGGCGGAUCGUUAAGUCAGGGGUGAAAUCCUGGAGCUCAACUCCAGAACUGCCUUUGAUACUGGCGAUCUUGAGUUCGAGAGAGGUGAGUGGAACUGCGAGUGUAGAGGUGAAAUUCGUAGAUAUUCGCAAGAACACCAGUGGCGAAGGCGGCUCACUGGCUCGAUACUGACGCUGAGGCGCGAAAGCGUGGGGAGCAAACAGG